GUGGAAGCUAAACUGGGAGAGCUUAAGGAUGCUAUUUCAGGUGGUUCAACCCAAACUAUCAAAGAUGCCAUGGCUGCCCUCAAUCAGGAAGUUAUGCAGCUUGGCCAGUCUCUAUAUAACCAACCUGGAGCUGCAGGCCCAGCAGGACCUACACCACCUGGUGGCGAGUCUGGUCCAUCAGAAUCAUCAGGCAAGGGACCUGAUGGGGACGUGAUUGAUGCCGAUUUUACCGACUCUAAAUGAGUUAUAGAGAUUAUUCAAUAGGAUUAUUUUUAUUUAUGCUUCUUUUGUGCUAAAUUCUUAGUGAUUUUUGUCAAUGGAGAGGGAGCGUUUGUCUCUUAUUAUAAUUAGACUCACUUUAU
rnacentral:lncRNA from 1 species